rnacentral:lncRNA from 1 species
AUGGGUGGUGCUAGGUCAGCACUCAGGAUCUGAACCUGCGAACCCUGGGCCACCGGAGCGCACAAACUUAACCACUACACCACUGGGCUGGCUCCUCCAUUCCUUCUGCUAAGUCUUUGGUGAAGUCUUCCCAUCUGAGGGCUUCAUCAGUUCUGGGAAAUCCCUUUGAGAAUUGCUUUGAGAAGUGUCUUUUCUCCAGUAUCCUCUCUCCUUCUGGAACUCCUAUUUGAUGGAUGUUUGAACUUAGGGACCUGUCUUUUAAUUUUCCUUUGAAAUAUUUUAUGUCUUUGUGUUUGGGGCAUAUAUUUUGAAAGAAUUCCCUGGCUUCAUCUUCCAGUUCGCUGAUCUCAUCUUUACCUGCAUUCACACAGCUGGAAUUUAUUAUAAGGAAUUGGUUCGCACAGUUAUGGAGACUGGAAAGUCCAAAAUCUGCAAUGUGGGCCUGCAGUCCAGAGACCCAGAGGAGCUGAUGUUGCAGUUUGAGUCUGAAGGCUGUCUGCUAGAGAAGGCUCUCUUGCCUGGAGGAGGGAAGUCUUUCUAUUCAGACCUUCAACUGAUGGGUCGAGGCCCAUUCACAUUAUGGAGAGCAGCCUGCGUUACUCAAAGUCCACCCAUUUAAAUGUUAAUCACAUCCAAACACCCAGAAUACUGUUCUUGUUGAUUGUUAUGACCUUUAUAUAUAAUCCGGAUAGUAAUCUCUCCUCUGUUUUAGAGGUUGCAAGUAUUUUCUCCCAGUCUGUCAUUUGCUUUUUAGCUUGGCUUACGGAGUCUUCAGGAAUGCAGACAUUUUCAUUGUUUAUGGAGUUAAGUUUGCUUGAGUUUCAUUUCAUAAUGUUUGUGUUUUCCUGAGGAAAACCUUCCAACCACUAAAUUAUUAAAAAACAUUCUCCUCCUGUCCCCCUACUGUUUCUACAUUUGGCUCUUGAAGGCAGUGAAGAUAGAGGACAGGAGGCUGGAGGCUCACAGGGACUGGUGGAGUUUGCAUCCUGACGCUGUCUCACGCUGCGUGAGUGACCUCAAACUCUUGUGUCUCAGCUCAUCCGAAAAACGGGAACAAUGCUUAUCUGGACUGUUAAAGCCCUGUGGAAAUAUUAUUAUUACAAAAAAUCAACUGGCAAAACAAUAUAAAUGUGACAGUAUUUCAAUAGCCUUUGAAAGCAAAAUUUUGUUUCUGAUAAUAGGCCUUUCCAAGAACAUUUAUUAUCUUAUUCAUUUCUAUAUUCUGUGGACGCUUAGAAUCUUUCCAGAUUUUUAAAUUAUGAGUGUGCUGAAAUAAAAAUUGUUUUAUA